rnacentral:other from 1 species
AUCCCCCUGCCAUGUUCGUGAUUGGGAGAUGUUUUUUGAUCCAACGUAAAUCAAAUGGGAGCUAUCCCUGGUUUUGGUGUGCAAGUUCUGCUUGAACAGAAAAGCCUGAAAAAACUAAAUGGCGCCCCCUUUUUCAGCAUGGUUCAAAAGCCUGCCAACACGGCAUUGGGGCAGGGGGUAA